GUGCUCACUUUGGCAGCACAUAUGCUAAACUUGGAACGAUACAGAGAAGAUUAGCACGGCCCCUGCGCAAGGACACACAAACUCGUGACGUGUUCCAUACUUAA
rnacentral:snRNA from 1 species